rnacentral:rRNA from 1 species
GACGAACGCUGGCGGCGUGCCUAAUACAUGCAAGUCGAACGCAUUUUCUUUCACCGUAGCUUGCUACACCGGAAGAAAAUGAGUGGCGAACGGGUGAGUAACACGUGGGUAACCUGCCCAUCAGCGGGGGAUAACACUUGGAAACAGGUGCUAAUACCGCAUAAUUCCAUUUACCGCAUGGCAGAUGGAUGAAAGGCGCUUUUGCGUCACUGAUGGAUGGACCCGCGGUGCAUUAGCUAGUUGGUGGGGUAACGGCCUACCAAGGCUGCGAUGCAUAGCCGACCUGAGAGGGUGAUCGGCCACACUGGGACUGAGACACGGCCCAGACUCCUACGGGAGGCAGCAGUAGGGAAUCUUCGGCAAUGGACGCAAGUCUGACCGAGCAACGCCGCGUGAGUGAAGAAGGUUUUCGGAUCGUAAAACUCUGUUG